rnacentral:rRNA from 1 species
UACGUAGGGUGCAAGCGUUGUUCGGAAUCAUUGGGCGUAAAGCGCGUGUAGGUGGUUAGGUAAGUCGUGUGUGAAAUCCCUGGGCUCAACCGAGGAAGUGCAUGCGAAACUACCUAGCUAGAGGACGGUAGAGGAUGGUGGAAUUCCUAGUGUAGAGGUGAAAUUCGUAGAUAUUAGGAGGAAUACCGGUGGCGAAGGCGGCCAUCUGGGCCGGUCCUGACACUGAGACGCGAAAGCGUGGGUAGCAAACAGG